AAUUAGUGGUGUACCAUAAUCUUCGCUAAUCAGUCUUGUCCUGCUCUACUUGUUUUAUUUAAGUUCCUGGAAAGAAAAUUGGAAUUGUAUCUAUGUUCACUAACACGAGCAAUUCAAGCAUUUCAAAAUGUUUGGGUAAUUUAUUACUCUUUUCGAAGAGUAGGAUAAUAACUAUAAUUUAUUAUCUUCAUCGAAAAUUCCAUUCUUACAGAGAAGAAAUCUAAUCAUUUUCAAAUUAUUCUGGCUAAAACCAUUUUGCUCGUUAAUAUUUUUUUUAUAGUUUUGUUUAGUAGUUCUAGACCUCAGGAAGAUAAUGUAAAGGUUCCAAAAUUGAUUAUUAACUUGUUACACAGUUAGAAAGGUGAGAUUUCAAGGAAGAGUGAAUCUGCCCCAACAUUGUUAUCUUUCCUUUUCUUUUUUCUUUUUUUAAUAAAUCAUUGAUGGCGUCGUUUAAUACUGGCAUCAUCCAACCUUCUAUCCAUUACUAUAUAAUAUAUGCUUGGUUUUUCAGAAUGUUUUGUAUUUGGGUGAUUGAUUUGGUUUGCUUCUGCUGGUUUUAUGAGUUGGAGAAUGAGUCUGAGCAUAAUUAAGAAUCUUUUCUGCGAAUCACUAGGAGAAUCUUUUCUAAGAACACCAAGUAACCUACGCAAGCAUACUUGAAAUCUGUGGUUCUGAAGGUUUAUGGUGUCAUCCUAUUACUAGAAGGACUUAUUGAAAGCAUUCCUGAAGUGUAUGCCCUCUUGAAGGAAAUUCGUGGUUUGCAUAGGCAAGUUUCUGCUGAUAAGAUUUCUUCUCAACUUUCUCCUCAGGCACCUGCGUUGUUUGAAUUCUUGCCACUCUUUAUCAAGAAACAGGUGCUCCCUUUUGCCUGAAUCAGUUGACUCUGCGCAGCUAUCCCAGAUUGAGACAGAAAAAAUCAUUGCACGUCUUGUAGAGGUGGAGAUGAAUAUGAUCUCUUCUGUCUCUGUCUCCGAGAGAACCAACUGGACCUUGAUUUCAUUUAUUUUAUUCCUGAUGAUAUAUUUUUUUAUCUGCAUGUUCAAAUUUAUUUUAUUUUUCAUUUGUAUUUUCCAUCUCUCUCUCUCACCGGUACCAUGUUCUUGCAGCUGGUUUGAAUGGUUAUAUGGCAACUAUAACUAGAGGAAU